GGGUGGCUUAGUGGUUAGAGCGUCCACCUCGGAUGCAGGAGACUGCAGGUUUGAACCCUUGAAGAAUCA